GUGUGCAUGUAUCUAGGUGACCGCCGUUCGUCUUACGCACGAAAACCUCAGCGGUGUUUGGUCGUCGAGUGUCUGGAACUCAAAUCAGACACUCAAUUACCCGAACACCACUGAGACCUCCAGGGCUCCGUAACUCCUGAACGGGAAGACUAAUCAGCCCCCCAUUCGGUAAGUUAAAAGUACCGAACAAGGGGAUUCAGACGAAUGCAAUGUUAAUCGUGAAUGUCAGGUUUUUAUGUGUGUUUUACCUCCCAAACGGAGACCGACCGCAGGGCCAGAUCAGGGCUACCAGGGGGUGCCACUUAGCCCCUUGUACCUAACUGUUUUGGGGUACAUCCAGAACUCGGGGGAAAUUGCAGCAGAUAUAAUGGGAUUAUGUGUCACACUGAGGGGAGGAGAUGUGUGGAAGGUAACUGACAUUAUUGGUUACUGUCCUUAUUAUGAUGAAUCCCUCCCUUGCAUGGGAGAAUGCUUUACAAGGAGGUUGUGUGGAUUAAAAGUUCUGCUCUGCUCCUGAUGCUGUGUGUCAUCCAGUCAUUGGGAUCUGUAUGGGGAUAUUCGUGUAUUACCCUGUUUGCUGGAAUUAUUACUUUAUGGUAUUUUUACUACUUGUUCCUGAGCCUCACUGGGAUCUUUGGUGGAGUUAACCUGUGGAAU